rnacentral:rRNA from 1 species
GCCGCGUGAGGGAUGACGGCCUUCGGGUUGUAAACCUCUUUCCCUAGGGAAGAAGCGAAAGUGACGGUACCUGCAAAAGAAGCGCCGGCUCACUACGUGCCACCCGCCGCGGUAAUACGUACGGCGCAUGCGUUAUCCGGAAUUAUUGGGCGUAAAGAGCUCGUACGCGGUUUGUCGCGUCUGCCGUGAAAGUCCUGGGCUCUGCUCCUGAUCUGCGGUGGGUACGGGCAGACUACAGUGAAGUAAGGGAGACUGGAAUUCGUGGUGUAGCGGUGAAAUGCUCAGAUGACAAGAGGAACACCGAUAGGCAACGCAGGUCUCUGGUCCUUAACUGACGCUUAGGAGCGAAGGCAUGCGGACCGGACAGGAUUCGAUGCCCUGGUACUCCAUGCCCUAUACGUGGGGCACUACGUGUGGGGGACAUUCCACGUUUUCCGCGCCGUAACUAACGCAUUAAGUGCCCCGCCAGGGGAGUACGGCCGCAAGGCUAAAACUCUGACGAAUUGACGGGGGCCCGCACAAGCGGGUGAUCAAGCUGAUUAAUUCGAUGCAACGCUUACAACCUUACCACGGGUUGA